rnacentral:misc_RNA from 1 species
UCUCCAUGGCAGUGAGAAACGGUAG